rnacentral:rRNA from 1 species
GACGGAGGAUGCAAGCGUUAUCCGGAAUGAUUGGGCGUAAAGCGUCCGCAGGUGGCCGUUCAAGUCUGCUGUCAAAGACCGGGGCUUAACUUCGGAAAGGCAGUGGAAACUGAACAGCUAGAGUAUGGUAGGGGCAGAGGGAAUUCCUGGUGUAGCGGUGAAAUGCGUAGAGAUCAGGAAGAACAUCGGUGGCGAAAGCGCUCUGCUAGGCCGCAACUGACACUGAGGGACGAAAGCUAGGGGAGCGAAUGGG